CUCAAGUAUGAGCAGUUACAAUUUUUGAAAAAGUUCGUAGAUGAAUCUCUGCAAGACUACUACACAAAUUUGCCUUGUGCGUCAAACAAUGCUCAUCUAAACGAUGCAGAUAUGCAGGAGUAAUCCUCGGAGUAACCACAUACAGAAUUAUUCCAUAUUGACUUGGAUCACUUUUCCAUUGAACCAAGCCAAUACGAGUUUUAUUUUAUCUAACAAAAUUGCUACAAAUUAUUUUUCUUUGUUUUGUCUGUUAAUCAGUUAAUGUCUAUACAUAUAACUAUUGAUAAAAACUUCUUACGA